AUUUCCCCAGUAGCGGCGAGCGAAGCGGAAAUAGCCCAAACUGAUAAUCUCUGUCCUUCGGACAUGAGAAUUGUAGUCUAGAGAUCUGCCGCCUACGACCUGAAGUGAGUUCGAAUACUCCGCCAAGGAAGGUGAAAGCCCUGUACAGGUCCACAGUGCAUAUGGCAAGAUUCCACGAGUCGAGUUGCUUGGGAUUGCAGCUCAAAAUGGGAGAUAUACUUCUUCUAAGGCUAAAUAUCAAUGGGAGACCGAUAGCGAACAAAGUACUGUGAAGGAAAGAUGAAAAGUAACUCUUUAAAACGAGAUUUAAACAGACCUGAAACUGUUGAGAAGGAAGCUGUAGACAUCAAUUAUUCGCGUUCGACCUGCCAAAGGGUCAAGUGGAGCCACUGUUAAAGGGUGAAGCUUGCCCAACAAUUCACGGCACUUGGUCGGUCGCGAUAGUCAAGUCGGGCUCGGCCGCCUCAACUCCCCGCAGGUUGCCGCAAGGUAGGCUAGUGGGUAGACGUGGUGGCUUGAAGCUGAUUGGACUUGUCAAAACGAUUACAGUCCCGUCUUGAAACACGGACCAAGGAGUCAAACAUAAGUGCAAAGUUUGCUGGUGUAAAACCAUCAAGCGUAAUGAAAGUGAGUAGAUGCGAAGCCGCAAGGCCGCAGCAUCAGCCGACCUCUGUUAAUUUGGUUUGAGCUGAGCACUUCUGUUUGGACCCGAAAGAUGGUGAACUAUGCUUGAGUAGGGUGAAGUCAGGGGAAACUCUGAUGGAGGCUCGUAGCGAUACUGACGUGCAAAUCGUUCGUCAAACUUGAGUAUAGGGGCGAAAGACUAAUCGAACUAUCUAGUAGCUGGUUCCCUCCGAAGUUUCUCUCAGGAUAGCAAGGUCUCCAUGGCAGUUUUACCAGGUAGAGCGAAUGAUUAGAGGACUGGGGAGGUCCAACUCUUCAGCCUAUUCUCAAACUUCCAAUUGGUAAGAACUCCGGCGCUUCUUUAUUGAGCACGGAGGUAGAAUGCCGACCUUAGUGGGCCAUUUUGGUAAGCAGGACUGGCGAUGAGGGAUGAACCUAACGUCGAGAUAAGGUGCCAAAGAUACACGCGCAUCAGACUGAAAGGUAGUUGAUUCAUAGAGACAGCAGGACGGUGGCCAUGGAAGUCGGAAUCCGCUAAGGAGUGUGUUACAACUCACCUGCCGAAUGGAUUAGCUCCGAAAAUUGAUGGCGCUACAGCGUGUGACCGAUACUCGACCAUUGUUGAGAAAGUUAUGCAGCAAUGUGUAGGGGGGCGUGGGCGUUGUGUCGAAGCCUCUGAGCGUGAGCCUGGGUAGAACAGCGUCUAGUGCAGAUCUUGGUGGUAGUAGCAAUUAUUCAAAUGAGAACUUUGAAGGCCGAAGUGGAGAAGGUUUCCAUGAGAACAGCAAUUGGUCAUGGGUGACUCGGUCCUAAGACAUUGGGCAUCCCUUGCAACUGAGCUUUUGCUCGCAGUCAAAAGGGAAUAAGCUACAUAUUCCAUAAGCCGGCCACGGAUUUUGUACGGUAACGUUUGUGAGCUCAGUGACGCCAGCGCGUGCCUCUGGAAGGGUUCUCGUCCUUCAUUUAACAGGCCAACGACCAUGAAAUCGGGUUAACCGGAGCUAUGGUUGUAAGCUUGGAAGAGCGUCUAUUUCCGAGAUGUCAGGUGCGCUCGCGAUGGCCCAUGAAAAACUGAGUGAAAGAUUAUUCCGUGCCGGACCGUACCAAUAACCGCAUCAGGCCUCCCAAGGUU
rnacentral:rRNA from 1 species